rnacentral:rRNA from 1 species
ACUCAAAUGAAUUGACGGGGACCUGCACAAGCGGUGGAGCAUGUGGUUCAAUUCGACGAUAAGCGGGGAACCUUACCAAGGUUUGACAUGCAUCUGCAAAUCCAUGGAAACAUGGACUCUUUCGAAGGUGAUGCACAGAUGCUGCACGGUUGUCGUCAGCUCGUGUCGUGAGAUGUUGCCUUAAGUGGUAGAACGAGCGCAACCCCCAUUGUCCGUUUUAUUGUGUCGGACAAAACUGCCAGCGUUCAAGCUGGAGGAAGGCGGGGAUGACGUCAAAUCAGCGUGGCUCUUACACCUUGGGCUACACACGUGCUACAAUGGGUAGAAUACAAAGGGAAGCAAGAGCGUAAGCUGGAGCAAAUCCUUAAAACUACCCUCAGUUCGGAUUGAGGGCUGCAACUCGCCCUCAUGAAGUUGGAAUCGCUAGUAACCGUAGAUCAGCCUCGCUACGGUGAAUACGUUCUCAGGUUUUGUACACACCGCCCGU